UACGUAGGGGGCAAGCGUUGUCCGGAAUCAUUGGGCGUAAAGCGCGUGUAGGCGGUCCGGUAAGUCCGCUGUGAAAGUCGGGGGCUCAACCCUCGGAUGCCGGUGGAUACUGUCGGGCUUGAGUACGGAAGAGGCGAGUGGAAUUCCUGGUGUAGCGGUGAAAUGCGCAGAUAUCAGGAGGAACACCAAUUGCGAAGGCACUCUGCUAGGCCUGAUUUCGCGACUGACACUCAGGGACGAGAGCCAGGGGAGCGAAUGGG
rnacentral:rRNA from 1 species